AAAACUUACAAAUUUUGUACACCUCCGUCUGAAGGAUAAUUUUACCAAACUAUCCCCCAUCUAUCUAUGAAUACAUGAUUUAUAUAUAUAUAUAGAGAUAAGUCAGGUCAAGGUGCAGAUUAUAUUUAGGAAUCUAUGCAUUUCAGUAAAAAUUGGAAUAGAAAAGAGAACUUGUAAUAGUUUCUAUAAAGAAUUUAAAAGUAAGAAAUAAAUUUCUAUUAUAGAUUUCUGAAGAAGGAUAUAAAGAAUGUACACAUCGCCCG
rnacentral:rRNA from 1 species